GGGCCUGCACAAGCGGCGGAGCAUGCGGAUUAAUUCGAUGCAACGCGAAGAACCUUACCAAGGCUUGACAUAUAGAGGAAAAGUGUAGAAAUACACUCCCCGCAAGGUCUCUAUACAGGUGGUGCAUGGUUGUCGUCAGCUCGUGUCGUGAGAUGUUGGGUUAAGUCCCGCAACGAGCGCAACCCUCGUCCUAUGUUGCCAGCACGUAAUGGUGGGAACUCAUGGGAUACUGCCGGGGUCAACUCGGAGGAAGGUGGGGAUGACGUCAAAUCAUCAUGCCCCUUACGGCCUGGGCUACACACGUGCUACAAUGGCUAGGACAGACGGCUGCAAACCAGCGAUGGGAGCUAA
rnacentral:rRNA from 1 species